UGAGAACAAAUAAAAACACACAGGAUUACUAUUUUAUUCUGCAGUCACGACCUCAGUCAGGAGAAGCAGAGCUGAAGUACAGAGGUUUGCACAUAUGAAACAUCCAUGCAGUUGUGAAGGUAUCCAGCUGUAACUUCACGCAGGUCUGUUAAGGACCUCCAGCCAAGACACGAAGAUCAAAGCGUCUCUGUUAAAGUCCAAACUCGUGGCGUACACGGAGGAUUUAGUGCACUGUGGGUCAAUAUCGAUGUAAAGCGUUUUUUUUUAACCAGAACCACCGACAUCUGAAGGAACCGACCUUUGCACAGUUUCCACCUUCACCCUGUUGGCCAACAGCACCAAAGGAGGUCAUUGUUAAACUGGGAUCUGACUGAAAUGGUAUGAAGAUCUCAUUUUUGGUUUGGCAAAAAUUUUUCGAUGUCCUUCCUGACACAACUCUCUCGAUUUAUCCAUGACUGGAACCAGCACUGCUGGCUUUUGUCUGGACAAAAAACAAAGCACUGAGUAUAUUUAAUUAUAAGUAAAGCCAAAGCUAAAACUGAGAUGGAUUUUGUUUUAUUUAACUUACAAAAAUAAAUUGUUUAGGGAAAAAAUUACAGUACUUGGGAAAAUAGAUAGGAAAUGUCUCCCUAUAUUAUUAUUAUUAUUAUUAUUAUUAUUAUGAAAAACUGAGCUAGAAUUGAUGCUUUAAUUAGUAUAAACUAAACUAAAAGCAGUAAACUUACUCAAGCAAACCCACUCGGGAAAAGAAAACUAAACUGAAAACAAAAAUUAAAAAGAAAUACUUGAUAAAUAUAUGGAAAAAAAAUGACUGUGUUGUAAACAGCAUUUUAAUGAUGCAGCUGCUUUCUCCAUAUUUAAUCAGAGGCACAAUUCUCAAAUAUAAACAUCUGUGUUAUGUAAAUAAAAUCCUACAAUAAGCAAGUAGCACUGCCCCUAAAAUAAAUACAGCAUUGUAAAAUAUUAUUUGCCUUUAAAACCAAAUGCAGUACAGGUGUAAAGAACCCUAGAUCAAUGGAACACUCAGAAGUUACCCCAAAACUUACAGUACUCGAGCAAUAGCAAUAGUUUGACGGUUCUCAUGAUUUUAGGGUAACGCACUGCAACAUCAGCAAUGAUAAACUAAAAUAAUGCACAUGUAAUCUGGUAACAAACAACAUUCAUGAACAACUUCUCUUUUUUUUUACUGAAAUUAAAACACUUUCAAAAACAUUUAUUAAACAGCAGAGGUAAAACACAGCUGAAGCAGUGAACAGUAUUUACAUGUUAAUAACAAGCACCAGGAGAGCAGCUGCUUAUCCACAUCAGUCAGUCCCCAGUUAAUUCAAGCAGCUUGGCGAUCACUCUCCCCUCUGCUGCUGGCUCUGAUCCAGCUGUUUCUGGUUCAUAUUCAUAGUUCCAUAGGUAAUAGUAUCAUAUCUAAGUGGUCACAUCAGAAUAUAUUUGAUGCAGAAA